UCCCUGGUGGCUCAGACGGUAAAGCAUCUGUCUACAAUGUGGAAGACCCGGGUUCGAUCCCUGGGUUGGGAA
rnacentral:tRNA from 1 species